CUCAGUCUAAUGUAAUAGGAACAUCUCCCCUCUUAGAGUAAGUAGAUUACGGUUUAAAAUCAGCCUUGGACAGCAGAUGGGCUCCUCAAAAGAAGUCCAGUUUUGCCCUUGGUGCCAAAGUCUGAGCUGAUGAACCAGGAGUGAAGUAUUAAACAUUAAACUAGUUUACUCCAAUGCAAUUGUCUGUACAUAAUUUUUAAUGUGUUUUUUGGGGAGUAUCAGCAAUUCUGGAGGGAAAUAGAAAACAUUUUACAACUUUUAAAACAACUAGUAGAAUUUCAAAUCCUAAUUACUGCUUUAAAAACAGGAUUAUUGAAAGUUAAUUGCAUUGUUUCCACUUGCUGGCUGUCUUCUCUUUUGUAGGCUGCGUUGGAGACAUUAGUGAUUUCUUGACGUCAAAGACGUUAGCAGAAUUAUGAAAAGUCAGGAGGAGGAAGGAUGUCAAAAAUGGGUGAUACCAGGCAAAGUCAUUGAUAUGUGUGUGCAAUGGUUUGAAACACACCCUGAGGAGGGCAUUUCUGAAACGUCUCUGAACAGCUCAUCUGUUCUGUCAGCAGCCUCAUUGUUCGCACAAUUUUCCAUUAGAUGAGCCAUUCAUCUGCUGUGGGAGACAUCUUUACUUUUUUCAUCGAAGUGAAAGUUGACAGGCUUUGGUUGAUUCUUUAUUCCUGGAAUGUUACCUAAUGUUUUCCAGUGUAAUACAUUUAACUUAAAAACUGAUAUUUUAGAUUUGUACAUUAAAACGAAGCACUGGGGAUACAUGUGAGUGCAUAGAAUAUAAUCUCUGUACAUCUGAACAAUGCAGAGGAACAUGAAAACUGGGGAUGCUGUUGAAGGUGAGGAAACCACCAUGCAUCAUGCUAUGAAUGUGUUAUGCUGUUUUUAUUUCAUGACCGAGCAGCCUUCUUGAACAGCAAAGAUUUCUGAUAUAGUCUAGGGACUGAAAUAAUCUGCCGAGAGCUUUGAUUACUAGAUGUGAGAUCUUGACAAUGUCAUUUUGGGUAGGAAUCCUGACCUACCAUUAUAAGAUCUUGUUUAAAGCUGGGGCCCCUGGAGUACUGGAUGGAACCUACCAUAACACUGUUAGACUUGGAGAGGUUAUCACAGAGGGAAAGAGAAAAUAAAAACAAAAAGAAAACACUGAAAAACA
rnacentral:lncRNA from 1 species